rnacentral:rRNA from 1 species
AUUGAACGCUGGCGGCAGGCCUAACACAUGCAAGUCGAACGAGUGGCGGACGGGUGAGUAAUGUCUGGGAAACUGCCCGAUGGAGGGGGAUAACUACUGGAAACGGUAGCUAAUACCGCAUACCAUCGGAUGUGCCCGGAUGGGAUUAGCUUGUAGGUGCGGUAACGGCUCACCUAGGCGACGAUCCGUAACUGGUCCGAGAGGAUGAGCAGUAACACUGGAACUGAGAAACGGUCCAGACUCCUACGGUAGGCAGCAGUGGGGAAUAUGGGACAAUGGGCGCAAGCCUGAUGCAGCCAUGCCGCGUGUGUGAAGAAGGUAUUCGGAUUGUAAAGCACUUUAAGUUGGGAGGCGUUACCAACAGAAUAAGCACCGGCUAACUUCGUGCCAGCAGCCGCGGUAAUUC